GUACGGGAGAAAGCAGGGGACCUUUCGGGCCUUGCGCUAUCAGAUGAGCCUAGGUCGGAUUAGCUUGUUGGUGAGGUAAUGGCUCACCAAGGCGACGAUCCGUAACUGGUCUGAGAGGAUGAUCAGUCACACUGGAACUGAGACACGGUCCAGACUCCUACGGGAGGCAGCAGUGGGGAAUAUUGGACAAUGGGCGAAAGCCUGAUCCAGCCAUGCCGCGUGUGUGAAGAAGGUCUUCGGAUUGUAAAGCACUUUAAGUUGGGAGGAAGGGCAGUAAGUUAAUACCUUGCUGUUUUGACGUUACCGACAGAAUAAGCACCGGCUAACUCUGUGCCAGCAGCCGCGGUAAUACAGAGGGUGCAAGCGUUAAUCGGAAUUACUGGGCGUAAAGCGCGCGUAGGUGGUUUGUUAAGUUGGAUGUGAAAGCCCCGGGCUCAACCUGGGAACUGCAUCCAAAACUGGCAAGCUAGAGUACGGUAGAGGGUGGUGGAAUUUCCUGUGUAGCGGUGAAAUGCGUAGAUAUAGGAAGGAACACCAGUGGCGAAGGCGACCACCUGGACUGAUACUGACACUGAGGUGCGAAAGCGUGGGGAGCAAACAGGAUUAGAUACCCUGGUAGUCCACGCCGUAAACGAUGUCAACUAGCCGUUGGAAUCCUUGAGAUUUUAGUGGCGCAGCUAACGCAUUAAGUGACCGCCUCGACGCCCUGAAUACUCUAU
rnacentral:rRNA from 1 species